rnacentral:tRNA from 1 species
GCGGGAGUAGCUCAGUUGGCUAGAGCAUCUGCCUUCCAAGCAGAGGGUCGCGGGUUCGAGUCCCGUUUCCCGCUCCA